rnacentral:lncRNA from 1 species
UGUCUUAAUUGCAUUUUCUGUUGGCUCACAUAAUUCUCUCUCAAACAUAAGUUCAUCAUCAAAGGAUAUGGAAAACUCCUUAACUUGCCCUACUUCUACUAGGCAAUGCUUCUCAAUCAAAUAAGGAUCAAUGAAUUGAACCACAAGAAUUCUUUGUCUCAAGAUCGGAUGUACUGACAACUGAGCUAACUGUGAGGUGACUUCCCCCACUAAAACUACAAUCUCAGCUCUCUCGUGGUUUUUGUCUAAUGAAACCUGUCUGGUAAUAAGUGCUGUCAAAAUGUGAUACUUUUCUACAAAGAGCACCAACUUCCACAUUCGCCUUACCUAGAUGGUACAAAAUCUCACAAUCAUAGUCAUUUACUAACUGAAACCAUCUUUGCUAUCUCAUACUCAACUUCUUUUUGAGUGAAAAAGUAUUUUAUACUCUUUUGGUUAGAAAAUAUCUAUAUCUUUUCAUCAUACAUAUAGUGCCUUCAAAUCAUUAAUGUAAAAACCACAACUGUCAAUUCCAUAUCAUAAGUUGGACAAUUUUCCUCAUGACUCUUCAACUGACGAGGAGUACAAGCAACUACUUUAACUUGUUGAAUCAUAAUACCUUUUUAAACUUUCCUAAAAGCAUCACUAUAAAUUACGAAACUUUCUGAACCAUCAUGUACGGUAAGCACGGGAGUUGUACAAGCUUCUGCUUAAGAUUCUGAACACUAUCCUCAUAGGCUUUGUCCCAAACAAACAGAGUCCCUUUUCUUAGUUAACUGAGUCAAAGGAGUAGCUAUACGAGAAAAUUCUUAUACAAACCGUUAGUAAUAACCUGCUGAACCCAAAAAGACUACGAACCUCACUGACUAUGAAAGGUUGAGGCUAACUGGUAACGACUUCAAUCUUUUAUGAGAUCCACAUAAAUGUCAUCUCUAGAUACCACAUGGCUUGGAAAGAUACUUGGCCUCAUCCAAAACUCACAUUUUGAAAACUUUGCAUACAAUUUGUUGACUCGAAGAGCCUCUAAAACCAUGUUAAAUGCUCCUCAUGCGCUGUCUCUAUUUUGGAAUAAAUUAAGAUAUCGUCAAUAGAUACAAUCACGAAAGUGUCUAAGAGAUCGUUAAACACUUUGUUCAUCAAGUCGUAAACAUUGUUUGAGCAUUUGCCAACUCAAAAGACAUCAUAAUGAACUCAUGAUGUCCAUAUCACGAACGAAAAUCUGCCAUAGGAAUGUCACUGUUCUCUAAUCCUCAACAAGUCAUAACCUUAAUGUAAUUCAAUCUUAAAAAACACGGACUUAUUGCAGUUGAUCAAACAAAUCCUCAUUCAUUGGUAAAAGAUAUUUAUUCUUAACCGACACCUUAUUCAACUUUCUACAAUCAAAACAUAAGUGCAUCGACCCAUCUUUCUUCUUAAUAAACAAAAAUUGGUGCACCCCAAGAUAACAUACUUCGUCGAAUGUAGUCCUUGUCAAACAUUUCUUUCAAUUGCACCUUCAAAUCUUUCAACUCUGUUGGGGCCAUUUUGUAUGAAGCUUUAGAUAUAGGAACGAGUCUAACUCUAUCUCAAUAGCAAGACCAAUUUCUGUUUAGCGCGGUAAUCUUAGAAACUCUUCUAGAAAAAUAUCAUAAUACUUUUUCACCACUAAUUCAAAUAACAAAGAAACAUCGACUUCUCUGGUGUCUACCACACUAGUCAAAUACAACAGGUACCCUGGUCAAGCAACUUACUAACCUUCAUAGCUGGGAUAACUUUUAGCGAAACGAUAGUUCCAACCUCUUUGUACUUGAAACUAGCCUCUGGAGAAGGAUUAGAAACUACAUUUGCGCUGAACAUUUUAUGUUUACAUGGUUAAACUACAUUCCAAUUUUCAAACUCCAAACUAGUAACUUUUCAUUCACGAGAAACUCAAAAUUGUUUCUUAAAGUCACAUCAAGACAACCAUGCUCAUCUUCCUUGUUUCUUUUCCAAUACCUCCAUUCUAAAACCAUUUAAUGUGUUUCGUAUAAACUUGACCGUGUAUUUAGUCCUCGUUAAAACCACCUACAUAACGUAUUUUUCUUAGAUUUCCAAUCACAAAACAGACAAUUUCGCUAACAACGUCUUACUUUUCUACUACUCGACCACUCCUUUGAACACCUCUACAUGACAACAUUUUUCCUAAAUUUCACCAUUAAAUCUUUCACCAUUAAAUCAGAACAUUCAUGUAAUUCUAGUUUAACUUAGGCAAGGUCAUAUACAUAAACCAUACAUAUAAGCAUAAAGCAUACCUGACGAGAGACGAAGGGUCGCGUUAGCCAUAGGGACACAAAAACAUAGACUUACAUCGUAAGUCGGUCUACAGAACCUAAAACUUAGGCUCUGAUACCAACUGUAACGAUCCAACUUUUCUAAGUAAGUCGAGAUCGUUAAUUUUUAACAAAUAAAGACUUUGAUUAAUAUAAAACAAAAUGUAAACAAUUAAAAAAAAAAACAUCUUCAAGUCAGGCCUGAUUUUUAAACAUUCAAGAAAACAUAAAAUAGUACUAUUUACAACAAACGUUUGUAAACUAAAUUUCAAUUCAUUUUAAACCUCACAAGAACCCAUAAGCGGAGCAAAAACACGUUUUCUAUGGCAUCACGCUUCCUUCCUGCCCCUCGCCUGUUUGCCGCCUUUAUUACCUUUGCCUGAAAAUUAAACAUAAGAAGGGUGAGUAUUUUAAAUACUCAGUAAGAGACCCUCUACUGGUCCCGUCAGGAGAAAAUAAAUUAUUAACGAUCUAUUGGGACACCCUGUACAGUCACAGUCUUGUGAUCCCGUAGGAUACAUAUCUCAGUCUAACGCCCCGAGGGACGUACAUAUCAGUCUAACGCCCCGAGGGACGUACAUAUCAGUCUAGUGUUCUGCCAGAAACACAUAUCAGUCAAAUGCUCCCGAAGGUGCACAAUAAAUUGGUGAUCCCGUGGGACACCUACAAGGUAAACAUCCCAAUACAAUCUAACAAUUUAUCCCCUCAUUCCAUUCAACCCAUCUUUCAGUUACUUCAAGUCACAAAAGUUAUUUCUUUCAACAUCCUAACAGUCAACUUAUUUUACUACAGUCAUAUGUCUGUCAAUAAUAUGCUAAUACAUCAGUCAAUCCACUAUACAGUCAAUGCACCCCUCAGUUCACCAGCACACAGUCAUACUUUAGCGUAAUCAUACACCCAAUCUAAACGAGAAUCUCAUACAAACACAAUCUCUACAAUCUCCGUCUUGUCCACAUACACACAUUUAUAUAUAGAUUCCAUGACAAUCACCGACAUACAUUCGACGUCAAGUCUACUUCAAUUCAUAUACAUUCAUAUAUAUUUUCAAGUCAACCCCAGUAUACAUUCAACACACAUACAGUUCACAAUCACAGUUCACAAUCACAAUUGAGUCCAGUAGAAAAUCCCUUACCUGGAUCUUUAUGUAAAAUUCCUUAGUCGAACUAACUUCAACAAACAAACCCCAAGAGUAAAGAAUCGAACUCCAACAAAGCUUAAGGCGUAACUCAAGGACACUAACUCCAAAUCACCGAUGUCGCCUUCAAGAACAAAGAUCAAUUCAACCAAUUAAACAACAUCACAUCUUAAUGUAUUUACAAAUGUAAGACCAUAUUACCGAACAAUCUCAUCCUUACCAAUAUCUUGUAACAAGACUUUGACAAUCGACGUUAAAUAGAAGUUCCCGCAGGAUCUACACAAAAGACAUCGUGCAAAACACUUUUGCACGCGAACUGGUCCGCGAUUCGUAAAUGGGACAGCGGGUAUCGACGAAGGCAGAACGGUUCGGACGUUCAACAGCAGUUACGCGCGGACGGGAGUAGCCCGGCAACGUAGCCGAAUUCGUGCGAUGCGGCAUGACCUGCGCGUCGGCGAGGCUGUUCGUGACUGAGGCGUGCGACUUGCCUCGCGGACGGAGAUAGAGACGGCGGAGACGGUUGCAGAACCGUGGCUUCGACAGAGACAGAACCGGCUGAGACGGCUGGGCAGCGGCGGAAGAGCAACGGCGCCGCAGAUCUGGACUGGCAACGGCGCGAUCUUGCUUCGCGGCUGGGCUGCGGACGGAAGAAGAAAGUGGAAGGAAAGGACUGGCGGCUGGCUGCGACUGGCUGCGAUUGGCUGCGGCGGGACGGGAAGAAGAAGAUAGAGGUGGUGGUUGCGGCGGAAAGAAAAACGGAAGGGAAGGGAGGCGACGGUUUGCGAACGGGAGAGAAGGGGGAAGGGAUCGACGCGCACGCAGAAGAAGAAGGGAGAAAAGAAAAGAAAAAGAAAAAGAAGAAAAGUAAAAUAAUAAAGAAAUUUUGUAAUAUUAAAAUAAUAUAUAAAUAAAAUAAAAUAUAUAUAUAUAUAUAUAUAUAUAUAUAUAUAUAUAUAUAUAUAUAUAUAUAUAUAUAUUUACCUUUUCUUUGGGCAUUACAAUCUUCCCUCCUUAAGAAACUUUCGUCCUCGAAAGUUCUAAUCCUGAAAUAACUCUGAAUAACGAGUCCUCAUCUCUUCUUCUCGCUCCCAUGUCGCCUCUUCAAUUCGAUGUUUCUGCCACAAAACCUUUACUAAUGGAAUGCUUCUAUUACGAAGCAUCUUUACCUCUCUAGCCAGAAUCUCCACAGGUUGUUCUACAUAGCUCAAAUGCUCAUCAAUCUCCAAGGGUUCAUAGUCCACUACAUGAGAUGUAUCGGCCACAUACUUCCUCAACAUCGAAACAUGGAAAACAUUAUGAACUGCAGAGAGAGAUGGUGGUAAUGCCAAGCGAUACGCCACAACACCAACCCUCUCUAAGAUCUCAAAUGGUCCAACAAAACGAGGACUUAACUUUCCUUUCUUCUCAAAACGCAUAACACCCUUCAUAGGUGCUACCUUCAAGAAUACCUUUUCUCCCACAUCGAACUUAAGGUCUUUUCGCCGUACAUCCGCAUAACUCUUCUGUCUACCCUGCGCUGUUUGCAUACGUGCUCUAAUCUUUUGAAUAGCCUCAUUAGUAGACCGAACUAAUUCAGGUCCCACCAAUCUAUGUUCACCAACCUCACUCCAACAAACAGGGGUUCUACAACAUUAGCCAUACAAAGCCUCAAAUGGUGCCAUACCGAUGGUAGCCUAGAAACUAUUGUUAUAAGCAAACUCCAUCAAAUGUAGAUGAGAGUCCCAACUACCUGGAAACUCUAUAACACAAGCUCGUAGCAUAUCCUCUAAAACUUGGUUCAAACGUUCAGUUUGACCAUCAGUCUGUGGAUGAAAGGCUGUACUGAAAUCCAAUCUCGUACCCAUAGCAGUCUGAAGUCCCUUCCAAAACUUGGAAGUAAACCGUGCAUCCCUAUCAGAAACAAUCGAUACAGGUACUCCAUGCAGUCUCACAAUCUCAGUUAAAUACAACUCUGCCCACUUACUAGCAGUAUAAGUGGAUUUUCCUGGUACAAAAUGUGCCGAUUUCGUAAGCCUGUCUAUGACAACCAGAAUCACUGUGAAACCCUUCAGGGUCUUAGGCAGCCCUGAAAUAAAAUCCAUCGACACAUUCUCCCACUUCCACUCUGGCACACUUAAAGGUUGUAACAAACCUGCUGGUUUCUGUCUAGGUGCCUUAACUUGCUGACAUACUAGACACUUACUAACAAAUUCCGCCACUUCCCUUUUCAUAUUCCGCCACCAAUAAAAUCGUUUUAGAUCCUGAUACAUUUUCGUGCUACCAGGAUGCAUGGAAAAUGGGGAAUUAUGGGCUUCAUCUAGUAAGUCAAUCUUAACUGUACUGUUCGCUGGCACACAUAAACGUCUCUCAAACAUCAACCCACCAUCAGAGGAUAUGGAGAACUCAUCAGUCUGCCCUGUUUCAACAAGGCGACGUCUCUCCAUCAAAUAAGGAUCACUACUCUUAGCAUCAACAAUCUUCUGCCUCAGAGUCGGUUACACCGUUAAUUGAGCUAGCUGUGAGGUGACUCUCCCCACAGACACAGCAAUCUCAGCUCUCUCCAAGUCUCGAUGUAACUGUACCUGUCUAGUAAUGAGUGCUGUCGAAUGUGAUACUUUUCUACUAAGAGCAUCAGCCACCACAUUCGCCUUACCAGGAUGGUACAAUAUCUCACAGUCAUAAUCUUUUACCAACUCGAGCCACCUUCGCUGUCUCAUAUUCAACUCCUUCUGAGUGAAGAAGUACUUUAGGCUCUUAUGGUCAGUAAAGAUUUGUAUCUUUUCACCGUACAAGUAAUGUCUCCAUAUCUUCAAUGCAAAAACCACUGCUGCCAACUCCAAAUCAUGUGUGGGGUAGUUCUGCUCGUGACUCUUCAACUGACGAGAGGCAUAAGCAACCACCUUACCUUUCUGCAUCAAAACACAACCCAGUCCUUUCUUGGAAGCAUCACUGUAAAUCACAAAACUUCCAGAUCCAUCUGGUACAGUAAGGACCGGUGCAGUAACUAACCUUUGCUUUAAGUUCUGAAAACUAUCCUCACAAGCUGGACUCCAAACAAACGGAGUUCCCUUCCUUGUCAACUGAGUCAAGGGAGUAGCCAAACGUGAAAAAUCCUCCACAAACCUCCGGUAGUACCCUGCUAAACCCAGAAAACUACGAACCUCACUAACUGUAGAGGGUCGAGACCAACUGGUAACCGCUUCUAUCUUUGCAGGGUCUACUGAAACUCCCUCACUGGAAACCACAUGACCAAGAAAAGCCACCUGCUUCAACCAAAAUUCGCACUUAGAGAACUUAGCAUACAGUUUAUUGACUCGAAGAGUCUCUAACACCUUAUGUAAGUGUUCCUCAUGUUCGGCUUCAGUCUUGGAAUAAACCAAAAUAUCAUCAAUGAAGACUAUCACAAAAGUGUCCAAGAAAUCCUUAAACACCCUGUUCAUCAAAUCCAUAAAUACAGCAGGUGCAUUAGUCAAACCAAAAGACAUUACUAUGAAUUCAUAAUGUCCAUACCUCGAACGAAAAGUCUUAGGAAUAUCACGGUCUCUAAUCCUCAACUGGUGAUAACCUGACCGUAAGUCAAUCUUAGAGAACACCGUGGCUCCCUGUAACUGAUCGAACAAAUCAUCGAUUCUGGGUAAAGGAUAUCUGUUCUUGACUGUUACUUUAUUCAACUCUCUAUAGUCAAUGCAAAGACGCAUCGACCCAUCCUUCUUCUUCACAAACAAUACUGGUGCACCCCAAGGUGACACACUAGGUCGAAUAAAGCCUUUGUCAAGCAAUUCCUGUAACUGUACCUUCAGUUCUUUCAACUCAGCAGGAGCCAUCCUAUAAGGGGCUCUAGAAAUAGGAGUAGUGUUUGGCUCCAACUCAAUGGCAAAAUCAACCUCUCUAUGUGGCGGUAGUCCUGGAAGAUCUUUUGGAAAUACAUCUGGGUAGUCUCUUACCACAGGUUCUGAAGUUAAAGAAGUCUCACCUUCCCUAGUAUCCACCACACUUGCCAAAAUACUCCAAGUACCCUGGUUGAGUAGUUUACUAGCUUUCAUAGCUGAGAUUACUUUAGGCAGUACUACUGUUCCUACCCCCUUGAAUUUAAAGCUAGAUGCAGUAGGGGGACUGAACACAACUUCCUUACGAGAACAAUCAAUACUAGCAUGAUUAGUAGCUAGCCAAUCCAUACCUAAAAUUACAUCAAAGUCACGCAUAUCUAAUACCAACAAGGUUACGUCCAGCACACGACCAGCUAUCUCAAUUUCACAUGCUUUAAUCUUUUCCUUAGACAACAUAAUUUCUCCAGACGGUGUAGACACUGACAAAACAUAGUCUAAGGGUUCCACCUCUAAGCAUGCAUGCGUCACAAAAAGCGAUGAAAUAAAUGAAUGAGAAGAUCCCGAGUCAAACAAGGUCAAGGCAAAAUGCCCUAACACUGGUAAUGUACCUGUCACUACUGUGCCGGCCUUCUCUGCCUCUGAUCUAUUAGUGGCAAAGAUUGUACCCCGCUGUGGAGGUCUCUCUCCCUGACUGCUCGAUCCAGCCCCAGUAGAUCUCAAGGGACACCUAUCAGCCAUGUGUCCCUCUUGCUUGCACUUAUAACAGACUCUCGUUCCCAUCAAACAACGACCCAGGUGGCGUUUCCCACACGUAUUACAUACUGGCCUCUCUCGAGUAGUGUCUCCUGCACCGCCAGAACUCUGCUGGAAACUGCGAAAAGGAUCGCCUGGUCUCAAGUUCCUCUGAGGAACUCCUACAGUUCUCUGCUCUACUUUUCUCUUUUGACCCGACGACGAUCCCUUAUCAAAGCUCCUUGGCUGUCUUUCAUCCUUCCCAAUACUCAUAUCCACUGCCAGACGCAGUGCUUCAGCUUGGGUAGUGGGCUUUAGUGCUCGCACAAAGCCCCUAAUUUCAUCUCUCAAUCCCUUGACGAACCUAUCAGCUCUAGCCUGCUCAUUACUAACAAGCUCAGGGGCAAAACGUGACAGCAUAUCAAACUCCUGGUCGUACUCCUCGACUGUCAUAUAUCCUUGCUUCAACUCCAAGAAUUCCUGGCUUUUGGCGUCUCUAAGGUUAGCCGAGAAAAACUUGGUAUAGAAGCAGUCCUUAAACUGAUCCCAGGUAAUCUGCCUCACAUCUCCACCUAGCAUGCGCAUUGUAGUCCUCCACCAGAUAAUGCCUCUGUCCCUCAGUAGAAAAGCAGCACACUGAACUCUGUGCUCCUCGGGACAUCUCAUGUAAUUAAAUAUGGUUUCCACAGAGGACAACCACAUUUCAGCUUUAGUAGGAUCCUCCAGUGACCCAUCAAACGUCUGAGGGUCAUACUUCCGAAAGUCCCUCAAAUGUUUCGCCUCAGCAGAAAGUUGGUUAGGUAAUUCUUGUGCAGGAGGGGCUGCUGGUGCAGGGGGAACUACAGGUGCAGGUGGAACUGCAGGUGCCUGCUGGUUUUGAGCUAUAGCUGUCAUAAGUUCUGUAAACCUCUGCUCCAUGUGAGCAGACAGUGCAUCAAACUCAACGUGAGUCACGGGUGCAGCAGGAAUUCGCUGUUCAGCUUGACCCUCAGUAGGCUGAUUACGACCUGCUCCUCUACCUCGGCCUCCUGCUCUCCUCUACCUCGGCCUCUACGACCUCCUCUACGUACACCUUCCCUUGGCGGCAUAAUUCCUAUUAUCCACCAACAACACUCUUUAACAAAAUCUUAAUCAUAAGCAUAAGCAAGUCUUUAUCGUCAUGCAAUCUAGUUUAAUUUAGGCAAGGUCAUGCAAAUAAACCAUACAUAUAAGCAUCAAGCAUACCUGACGAGAGACGAAGGGUCGCGUUAGCCAUAAGAACACAAAAACAUAGACUUACAUCGUAAGUCAGUCUACAUAACCUAAAACUUAGGCUCUGAUACCAACUGUAACGACCCAACUUUUCUAAGUAAGUCGAGAUCGAUAAUUUUUAACAAAUAAAGACUUUGAUUAAUAUAAAACAAAACGUAAACAAUUAAAAAAAAAAAAUCAUCUUCAAGUCAGGCCUGAUUUUUAAACAUUCAAGAAAACAUAAAAUAGUACUAUUUACAACAAACGUUUGUAAACUAAAUUUCAAUUCAUUUUAAACCUCACAAGAACCCAUAAGCGGAAGCAAAAACACGUUUCCUAUGGCAUCAUGUUUCCUUCCUGCCCCUCGCCUGUUUGCCGCCUUUAUUACCUUUGCCUGAAAAUUAAACAUAACAAGGGUGAGUAUUUAAAUACUCAGUAAGAGACCCUCUACUGGUCUCGUCAGGGGAAAAUAAAUUGUUAAAGUUCUAUUGGGACACCCUGUACAGUCGCAGUCUUGUGAUCCCGUAGGAUACACAUCUCAGUCUAACGCCCCGAGGGACGUACAUAUCAGUCUAACGCCCCGAGGGACGUACAUAUCAGUCUAGUGUUCUGCAGAAACACAUAUCAGUCAAAUGCUCCCGAAGGUGCACAAUAAAUUGGUGAUCCCGUGGGACACCUACAAGGUAAACAUCCCAAUACAAUCUAACAAUUUAUCCCCUCAUUCCAUUCAACCCAUCUUUCAGUUACUUCAAGUCACAAAGUUCUUUCUUUCAACAUCCUAACAGUCAACUUAUUUUACUACAGUCAUAUGUCUGUCAAUAAUAUGCUAAUACAUCAGUCAAUCCACUAUACAGUCAAUGCACCCCUCAGUUCACCAGCACACAGUCAUACUUUAGCGUAAUCAUACACCCAAUCUAAACGAGAAUCUCAUACAAACACAAUCUACAAUCUCCGUCCUGUCCACAUACACACAUUUAUAUAUAGAUUCCAUGACAAUCACGACAUACAUUCGACGUCAAGUCUACUUCAAUUCAUAUACAUUCAUAUAUAUUUUCAGUCAACCCCAGUAUACAUUCAACACACAUACAGUUCACAAUCACAGUUCACAAUCACAAUUGAGUCCAGUAGAAAAUCCCUUACCUGGAUCUUUAUGUAAAAUUCCUUAGUCGAACUAACUUCAACAAACAAACCCCAAGAGUAAAGAAUCGAACUCCAACAAAGCUUAAGGCGUAACUCAAGGACACUAACUCCAAAUCACCGAUGUCACCUUCAAGAACAAAGAUCAAUUCAACCAAUUAAACAACAUCACAUCUUAAUGUAUUUACAAAUGUAAGACCUUAUUACCGAACAAUCUCAUCCUUACCAAUAUCUUGUAACAAGACUUUGACAAUCGACGUUAAAUAGAAGUUGCCGCAGGAUCUACACAAAAGACAUCGUGCAAAACACUUUUGCACGCGAACUGGUCCGCGAUUCGUAAAUGGGACAGCGGGUAUCGACGAAGGCAGAACGGUUCGGACGUUCAACAGCAGUUACGCGCGGACGGGAGUAGCUCGGCAACGUAGCCGAAUUCGUGCGAUGCGGCGUGACCUGCGUCGGCGAGGCUGUUCGUGACUGAGGCGUGUGACUUGCCUCGCGGACGGAGAUAGAGACGGCGGAGACGGUUGCAGAACCGUGGCUUCGACAGAGACAGAACCGGCUGAGACGGCUGGGCAGCGGCGGAAGAGCAACGGCGCCGCAGAUCUGGACUGGCAAUGGCGCGAUCUUGCUUCGCGACGGGGCUGCGGACGGAAGAAGAAAAUGGAAGGAAAGGACCGGCGGCUGGCUGCGGUUGGCUGCGGCGGGACGGGAAGAAGAAGAUAGAGGUGGUGCUUGCGGCGGAAAGAAAAACGGAAAGAAAGGGAGGCGACGGUUUGCGAACGGGAGAGAAGGGGGAAGGGAUCGGCGCGCACGCAGAAGAAGAAGGGAGAAAAGAAAAGAAAAAGAAAAAGAAGAAAAGAAAAAUAAUAAAGAAUUUUUUUAAUAUUAAAAUAAUAUAUAUAAAAAUAAAUAAAUAUAUAUAUAUAUAUAAUAUAUAUAUAUAUAUAUAUAUAUUUACCUUUUCUUUGGGCAUUACAGGUUCGGUUUCAAUGAAGAUUUUUUUUAUCAUUUUGCGGUUCGAUUCGGUUUUAGCUUCAAACCGAACCGCGAACACCACUAAUAUGUAAUGUUGAGAUCAACUGAAUAUGUUUGUAAUGUAGGGACUUUGAUGAAAGAAUUGAAAAUUCAGGAAAUUGUAUGAAAAAAAAUGGUUGAAUGUUAAAUUGACUUAUGAAUAGUGUAUAUGAAACAAUACAUUAUAUAUUUUAUGAAUGAAAUGUUAUGCAAUCAAUUUGUUAAAUUGGUUUAUUUAUUUUAUUUCAAAUAUUUAUUUUAUAUGUAAUAAAUAAUAAGUUAUGUUUGAAACAGCAGUAUAAGGAUAUAUCAUAAUAUAUAUUGUUCAUUUAAGGUUAGUAAGAAUUUUAUAUUUUGUAUUUGAAAUAUACUAUGAUAUAUUGAGUACAUCAAAGAUGACAUCAUUUAUGUACUAUUGAAAAUAUGAAGUAGUAUAUAUAUGUAACAAAUCACAUAAGAUAUAUGUAUCAUGUACUAGUAUAUACGUCAUUAUUUAUAUAUACACACCUAAUGAAAAAAAGUAGAGUGUGUGGGACCCACGUAUAUAAAUAAUGAGAAAAUAAAAAAUGUUGGCCCAAUGUAAUAUAUAUAUAUAAGUAAAAAAUAAACUAUGUAGGGUCCACUGCAUGAAAAUUGUGUAGGGGUACAAAACUUCACCUCAACUCACCUAUUUUUGUCAAUAGUUUUGCAUUCACCUACUUUUGACAUAUGUUUCAAAAUUUACAUUAUUUUUUAAAAAAAGUUCUAUACAUAAUAAAUAAUAACUCGUGAUUGAAACAAGAGUGGUUAUGUAUGAAGGAUAGUAUAUUAAAUAUAAUAAAUUGAAAAACUUUGAUUGGUACCGUAGAUGAAAAUUUAUGAAAAAAUAUAGAAAUAAAAUAACUAAAUUUAAAACUGAAAUAUGAAUAUUUCAAAUAAAAGUAUAAAUCAACAUACUAAAAGUUUAAUAAUAAGAAAGAAAAAUUAGUUCAAUAAGGAAAGCUUGCAUCUCUUUCGUUUAUGACAACCACAUUUAAAACUUCAUUUUAGAAUGAAUUCUAAUAUUUUUUUGUUGACCAACUGAACGUUUUACAUUCAAUGGGAUGAUGUCAACUUCAAUUACUGUAUUAUUGAAUAUAUGCAUUAGUAUGUAUGUAACAAAUCAAAUAAAAUACUAAUCGAAUAUAGAAAAAUAUAAAGAAAAUGACACAAAACGUGAAGGAAAAAAACUGAACUAUAUAUGUGUCACAAAAUACGUGUUAUUAUAUUUAUAUAAAUGUAUAUAUUGAUAACAUCACCUGUCUAUGUAGUGAUAUAUAUUGAAAUUCAACUAUAAAUUAUGUAGAACUAUAUGUCACUAAAUAUUUAUGUUGUAAAUAAGGUGUAUCUAUAUAUUAAAUCACAUCAUAAACAUAUUAUAAUUUACGAGUAUAUUAUAGUAUAUAUUGUUCAUUUAAAAGAUAUAUGACAAAUAGAAGGUAUAUAAUUAUACGAAGUGAGAAUAUGUAUGUAUGAUAUUCUCACUACAUAUUAUAUAUACACUAAGAAUGUGUAUUUUACUGUUUUAGUAGUAUUUACUAUAUAAAUAUAUAUUUUAAAUAUUAAUUAUUAAUGAAUAUAUAGUUUACUACAUGUUGUUACAACAUACUUAAGAUAUAAAUGUUUAUAUGACUAACAACAUAAUAUUACUAUAAGAUAAACAAAAAAAUAAAGAACAGAUUGAAUUGAAAAAUAUUUUCGAUUAUUGUAUGUCACUAUAUAUGUCUGAUUGUAUAUAUCUCUAAGAAAUAUUACAUAAUGAGGUAGUGUAACGACCCAACUUUUCUAAGUAAGUCGAGAUCGUUAAUUUUUAACAAAUAAAGACUUUGAUUAAUAUAAAACAAAACGUAAACAAUUAAAAAAAAAACAUCUUCAAGUCAGGCCUGAUUUUUAAACAUUCAAGAAAACAUAAAAUAAUACUAUUUACAACAAACGUUUGUAAACUAAAUUUCAAUACAUUUUAAACCUCACAAGAACCCAUAAGCGGAAGCAAAAACACGUUUCCUAUGGCAUCAUGUUUCCUUCCUGCCCCUCGCCUGUUUGCCGCCUUUAUUACCUUUGCCUGAAAAUUAAACAUAACAAGGGUGAGUAUUUAAAUACUCAGUAAGAGACCCUCUACUGGUCUCGUCAGGGGAAAAUAAAUUGUUAAAGUUCUAUUGGGACACCCUGUACAGUCGCAGUCUUGUGAUCCCGUAGGAUACACAUCUCAGUCUAACGCCCCGAGGGACGUACAUAUCAGUCUAACGCCCCGAGGGACGUACAUAUCAGUCUAACGCCCCGAGGGACGUACAUAUCAGUCUAGUGUUCUGCAGAAACACAUAUCAGUCUAAUGCUCCCGAAGGUGCACAAUAAAUUGGUGAUCCCGUGGGACACCUACAAGGUAAACAUCCCAAUACAAUCUAACAAUUUUCCCCUCAUUCCAUUCAACCCAUCUUUCAGUUACUUCAAGUCACAAAGUUCUUUCUUUCAACAUCCUAACAGUCAACUUAUUUUAAUACAUCAGUCAAUCCACUAUACAGUCAAUGCACCCCUCAGUUCACCAGCACACAGUCAUACUUUAGCGUAAUCAUACACCCAAUCUAAACGAGAAUCUCAUACAAACACAAUCUACAAUCUCCGUCCUGUCCACAUACACACAUUUAUAUAUAGAUUCCAUGACAAUCACGACAUACAUUCGACGUCAAGUCUACUUCAAUUCAUAUACAUUCAUAUAUAUUUUCAGUCAACCCACAAUAUACAUUCAACACACAUACAGUUCACAAUCACAGUUCACAAUCACAAUUGAGUCCAGUAGAAAAUCCCUUACCUGGAUCUUUAUGUAAAAUUCCUUAGUCGAACUAACUUCAACAAACAAACCCAAAGAGUAAAGAAUCGAACUCCAACAAAGCUUAAGGCGUAACUCAAGGACACUAACUCGAAAUCACUGAUGUCGCCUUCAAGAACAAAGAUCAAUUCAACCAAUUAAACAACAUCACAUCUUAAUGUAUUUACAAAUGUAAGACCUUUUUACCAAACAAUAUCAUCCUUACCAAUAUCUUGUAACAAGACUUUGACCAUCGACGUUAAAUAGAAGUUGCCGCAGGAUCUACACAAAAGACAUCGUGCAAAACACUUCUGCACGCGAACCGGUCCGCAAUUCGUAAAUGGGACAGCGGGUAUCGACGAAGGCAGAACGAUUCGGACGUUCAACAUCAGUUACGCGCGGACGGGAGUAGCCCGGCAACGUAGCCGAACUCGUGCGAUGCGGCGUGACCUGCGUCGGCGAGGCUGUUCGUGACUGAGGCGUGCGACUUGCCUCGCGGAUGGAGAUAGAGACGGCGGCUGGGUUCGGCUUCGACGGAGACAGAACCGACGAUGGAGAUGGCAGAUCGGCACGCGGGCUGCAGCUGGGCUGCGGUGGGAAGAGGAACGGAGAUGGCCGGCGGCGGUUGCUGCGCGAACGGAGAGAAGGGGAAGGUGGGUCGCACGGCGCACGGGAGGAGAAGAGAAAUAGGGAAAAGAAAAGAAAAAGGAAAAAGAAAAGAAAAGGAAAAAGAAAAACAAAAUAUAUAUAUUUCUUUUUCUUUUCUUUUUAUUUAAAUUAAAUACAAAAAAAUAUAUAUAUAAAUACCUUUGGGGCAUUACACGUAGUAUAUAUGUAACAAAUCACAUAAUAUAUAUGUAUUAUGGAGUAGUAUAAAUGUAAUUGUUGAGCAAGAAAUUUUAACCAAUGAAAUUACACCAAGUUGUGAUGAUUAUAAUUUGAUAGGAAUCGGGUAGUCAAGUUUUCCAACCCAAUUCAAGCCCCUGAUAAAAAAUCAGGCCAAACAAAGGGGCCUAAGCCCAUUAAGAAAAUGGGCCCAAGCCCAAGUCCAAGCUCAACAACUCAACAAGCAAAUGGGUCCAAGCCCACAUAAAGUCCACAAAUUUUCUCUAUAAGUAGAGACCUUUGUCAUUCAUUCGAGAGAUCUUUUGUUGAAGGAAGAAAUGAAGCUCUGAAGUACUGAAGCUUUGAAGAAUUGAAGAUUCAAACUUCUAUAGAGCUCUCAAGACGUGCAAGUUCUUAUCAACUUCGAGAUCAUCAUCUUCUGAAAUAUUGAAGACUUGGAAGAUCAAAAUUUCCUUGAAUUCCAGAAGACUGAAGCUGAAAUAGACCGAACCAUUUAAAUUCGGUUUGGACUAUUUGAGACAGCAACAAACUAUGUUUUUUGUUCUGUACAUAAAUGGUGUGGUUUGAUUCGGUUUUAACAAGCGGUUCAAUUUAUACCGUUUAGACUUGAUCUUAUAUAAUGUGAAAUUAUUUUUUUUCUUUGAAUUUUUAUCUAAGUGUACUCAAAUUGUAUACCAUGUUACAAAAUUAAUUGCAAUAAAUUUUUUAAAAUUUUCAAAAAUAUCAUAAAUUGACUAAUAUUUUAUACAAAUAUAGAGUAAAAAUGACCAAUUUAAUCUUUUUAUUAUUAAUAAUAUAUUAAAAAUAAAAAGAAAAGUGAACCACGUUUAAGAUUUUCAUUUAUUAAAUAUUCUAUGAAAAUAUGGAUUAAAUUCUAUUAAAGUAAUAUUAAUAAUAAAAAUUGUCCUUAGUUUGCUUUUUAUGAUUUUAUUAAAAAAUUGUCCUUUUUUUAUUUUGCAUUCUUUUUCAUAUAUUUUAUAUAAUUAUAGUAUAUAUCGAAUAAUAUAAUGUAUAUUUUAUUAGUGAAAUGUUCUUAUAUCAAUUUAUUUAUUUAUUUUAUUUAAAUAUUCAUAUCUUACGUAGUAAAUAAUACAUUAUGUUUGAAAUAAUAUUAAUUAUAUAUGAAAGUUGUUUAUGUUUACAAGAACAUGAAUGAGAAAUAAUUAUGAUGAGUAUAUGUAAUAUAUGUCAUUAAAAUAUUUGUUAUUCUCUAGUAUAUGUAAUAGGGGUGUUCAAAAUGAAGUUGAAAACUGAAUCGAAUCACUAAUCGAACCGAAAUCGAAUGCAUAUGGUUCGGUUCGAUUCGAUUUCUAUUUCAAAAAAACCACAUAAAAUUCGGUUCGGUUCAGUUUAAGAUGUUAAGAACCGAUUCUCAAACCGAACUGAAUUGCUUUAUUUUAAAAACUAAAUAUAUAUAUAUAUAUAUAUAUAUAUAUAUAUAAUAUAUAUAUAUAUAUAAUAUAUAUAUGUUAAUAAUAAGACUUUUUUAGACUUCAAAGCGGGUAUAGAGUCAAAAAUAAAUGAGAGGAACGAAAAGGAGAAGAAUGACAUAAUCAAAACGUAAAUGACAAGUUGUCUUGACGAAAUUUGUAUGACUGUAGGACUUUUAUUCAUCUUAGGUGGAUUUUAAAACUUUUAUGUGUUAUUGGACUUUCAAAUUUCAAUGUUUGAAACAUCUAUGUGUGUAAUUUUGAAAUUUCUAUGUUUAUAACUUUGUAUAAGCCGUUCGGUUUUGAUUUGAUUUUAUUUAUGUAUAUGUGGUUCGGUUUUCAUUCGGUUUGGCAUAGAUGAGCGGUUCGGUUCAGUAACGACCAAACUUUUCUAAGUAAGUCGAGAUCGUUAAUUUUUAACAAAUAAAGACUUUGAUUAAUAUAAAACAAAACGUAAACAAUUAAAAAAAAAAAAAACAUCUUCAAGUCAGGCCUGAUUUUUAAACAUUCAAGAAAACAUAAAAUAGUACUAUUUACAACAAACGUUUGUAAACUAAAUUUCAAUUCAUUUUAAACCUCACAAGAACCCAUAAGCGGAAGCAAAAAAACACGUUUCCUAUGGCAUCACGCUUCCUUCCUCCCUCUCGCCUGUUUGUCGCCUUUAUUACCUUUGCCUGAAAAUUAAACAUAAGAAGGGUGAGUAUUUUAAAUACUCAGUAAGAGACCCUCUACUGGUCUCGUCAGGGAAAAAUAAAUUGUUAAAGUUCUAUUGGGACACCCUGUACAGUCGCAGUCUUGUGAUCCCGUAGGAUACACAUCUCAGUCUAACGCCCCGAGGGACGUACAUAUCAGUCUAGUGUUCUGCAGAAACACAUAUCACUCAAAUGCUCCCGAAGGUGCACAAUAAAUUGGUGAUCCCGUGGGACACCUACAAGGUAAACAUCCCAAUACAAUCUAACAAUUUAUCCCCUCAUUCCAUUCAACCCAUCUUUCAGUUACUUCAAGUCACAAAGUUCUUUCUUUCAACAUCCUAACAGUCAACUUAUUUUACUACAGUCAUAUGUCUGUCAAUAAUAUGCUAAUACAUCAGUCAAUCCACUAUACAGUCAAUGCACCCCUCAGUUCACCAGCACACAGUCAUACUUUAGUGUAAUCAUACACCCAAUCUAAACGAGAAUCUCAUACAAACACAAUCUACAAUCUCCGUCCUGUCCACAUACACACAUUUAUAUAUAGAUUCCAUGACAAUCACGACAUACAUUCGACGUCAAGUCUACUUCAAUUCAUAUACAUUCAUAUAUAUUUUCAGUCAAACCCAGUAUACAUUCAACACACAUACAGUUCACAAUCACAAUUGAGUCCAGUAGAAAAUCCCUUACCUGGAUCUUUAUGUAAAAUUCCUUAGUCGAACUAACUUCAACAAACAAACCCCAAGAGUAAAGAAUCGAACUCCAACAAAGCUUAAGGAGUAACUCAAGGACACUAACUCGAAAUCACUGAUGUCGCCUUCAAGAACAAAGAUCAAUUCAACCAAUUAAACAACAUCACAUCUUAAUGUAUUUAUAAAUGUAAGACCUUAUUACCCAACAAUCUCAUCCUUACCAAUAACUUAUAACAAGACUUUGACAAUCGACGUUAAAAUAGAAGUUGCCGCAGGAUCUACACAAAAGACAUCGUGCAAAACACUUCUACACGCGAACCAGUCCGCGAUUCGUAAAUGGGACAGCGGGUAUCGACGAAGGCAGAACGGUUCGGACGUUCAACAGCAGUUACGCGCGGACGGGAGUAGCCCGGCAACGUAGCCGAACUCGUGCGAUGCGGCGUGACCUGCAUCGGCGAGGCUGUUCGUGACUGAGGCGUGCGACUUGCCUCGCGAACGGAGAUAGAGACGGCGGCUGGGUUCGGCUUCGACGGAGACAGAACCGGUGAUGGAGACGGCAGAUCAGCGCGCGGGUUGCGGCGGGAAAAAAACGAAAGGGAAAGGAUCGGUGGGAGUCGCGGCGCACGGCGGAAGAAGGAAAUAAGGGCGGCGGUUGCUGGGCUGCGACGCAGAUCUGGACUGGGCACGAACGGAAGGAGAAGAGGACGGUUGGGGCGGUUGCUGCGCGAACGGAGAGAAGGGGAAGGAGGGUCGCGGCGCACGGGAGGAAGAAGAAGAGAGAGAGAGAGAAAAAAAGAGAAAAGAAAAAGAAAGAAAAAAAAUAUAUAUAUAAUAAGAAUUUUUUUUUCUUUUUCUUUUCUUUUCUUUUUUAUUUAAAUUAAUAUUAAAAUAUAUAAAAAUUUAAAAAUAUAUAUAUAUACAUAUAUAUUUUUACCUUUGGGUCUUUACAUUCUUCCCUCCUUAAGAAAUUUUCGUCCUCGAAAGUUUUAAUCCUGAAAUAACUCUGGAUAACGAGUCCUCAUCUCUUCCUCUCGCUCCCAUGUUGCGUCUUCAAUUCGAUGAUUCCGCCACAAAACCUUUACUAAUGGAAUGCUUCUAUUACGAAGCAUCUUUACCUCUCUAGCCAGAAUCUCCAUAGGUUGUUCUACAUAGCUCAAAUGCUCAUUAAUCUCCAAAGGUUCAUAGUCCACUACAUGAGAUGUAUCGGCCACAUACUUCCUCAACAUCGAAACAUGGAAAACAUUAUGAACUGCAGAGAGUGAUGGUGGUAAUGCCAAGCGAUACGCCACAACACCAACCCUCUCUAAGAUCUCAAAUGGUCCAACAAAACGAGGACUUAACUUUCCUUUCUUCUCAAAACGCAUAACACCCUUCAUAGGUGCUACCUUCAAGAAUACCUUUUCUCCCACAUCGAACUUAAGGUCUUUUCGCCGUACAUCUGCAUAACUCUUCUGUCUACUCUGCGCUGUUUGCAUACGCGUUCUAAUCUUUUGAAUAGCCUCAUUAGUAGACCGAACUAAUUCAGGUCCCAUCAAUCUAUGUUCACCAACCUCACUCCAACAAACAGGGGUUCUACAACAUUUGCCAAAGAAAGCCUCAAAUGGUGCCAUACCGAUGGUAGCCUGAAAACUGUUGUUAUAAGCAAACUCCAUCAAAUGUAGAUGAGAGUCCCAACUACCUGGAAACUCUAUAACACAAGCUCGUAGCAUAUCCUCUAAAACUUGGUUCAAACGUUCAGUUUGACCAUCAGUCUGUGGAUGAAAGGCUGUACUGAAAUCCAAUCUCGUACCCAUAGCAGUCUGAAGUCCCUUCCAAAACUUGGAAGUAAACCGUGCAUCCCUAUCAGAAACAAUCGAUACAGACACUCCAUGCAGUCUCACAACCUCAGUUAAAUACAACUGUGCCCACUUACUAGCAGUAAAAGUGGAUUUCCCUGGUACAAAAUGUGCCGAUUUCGUAAGCCUGUCUACAAUAACCCAAAUCACUGUGAAACCCUUCAGGGUUUUAGGCAAUUAUAUAAUAAAAUCCAUAGAUACAUUCUCCCACUUCCACUCUAAUAUACUCAAAGGUUGCAACAAACCUGUUGUUUUCUAUCUUGGUGCUUUAACCUACUAGCACACCAAGCACUUACUAACAAGAUUUUCCAUUUCUCUCUUCAUAUUACGCUAGUAACAAACUCUUUUCAAUUCCGGAUACAUUUUUGUGCUACUUGGAUGCAUGAGAAAUGGGAAACUAUGAGUCUCAACCAAUAACCUUGUCUUAAUUGCAUUUUCUGUUGGCACACACAAUUUUCUUUCAAACAUAAGUUCAUCAUCAAAGGAUAUGGAAAACUCCUUAACUUGCCCUACUUCUACUAGGUGAUGCUUCUCAAUCAAAUAAGGAUCAAUGAAUUGAACCACAAGAAUUCUUUGUCUCAAGGUCGGAUGUACUGACAACUGAGCUAACUUUGAGGUGACUUCCCCCACUGAAACUACAAUCUCAGCUCUCUCGUGGUUUUUGUCUAAUGAAACCUGUCUGGUAAUAAGUGCUGUCAAAAUGUGAUACUUUUCUACGAAGAGCACCAACUUCCACAUUCGCCUUACCUAGAUGGUACAAAAUCUCAC